GGGGGCGUACUGGUUUCGACCAUGUGAGUGCGCCGGAGGCGGCAUGCCGAGGAUGGUUCGUUGGCCUCGUAAAAAAUCGAACUAAAAAAUUAAGAGCUAACGAAGAGUUGGCCCUCGCAGCCUAAGGCUGUGACGUUCACCCCUGGAUCCCGGCUAAGGGGAGUGAGCGCUAUUAGUCGGGGUGGUGUUCUUGUGGGGACAGCGCGCAAGACGCCGAGAAACUCCAUGCUGACUAAGCUGCAGGUUUCGAGUCAGGGUGAUUUCCUGUGGCCGACAAAAUACCUUGGCUAAGCAUGUAGUCGCGGCCGGUUUUCUUGCUUGGGACGCGGGUUCAACUCCCGCCGCCUCCACCA
rnacentral:tmRNA from 1 species